GCCUCCAUAGUUCAAUGGAUAGAGCAUCAGCCUCCGAAGCUGGUGAUGUGGGUUCGACUCCCGCUGGAGGCA
rnacentral:tRNA from 2 species